CCUACGGGAGGCAGCAGUGAGGAAUAUUGGUCAAUGGGCGUAAGCCUGAACCAGCCAAGUCGCGUGAGGGAUGACGGUUCUAUGGGUCGUAAACCUCUUUUAUAAGGGAAUAACGUGCGGGACGUGUCCCGUUUUGUGUGUACCUUAUGAAUAAGGAUCGGCUAACUCCGUGCCAGCAGCCGCGGUAAUACGGAGGAUGCGAGCGUUAUCCGGAUUUAUUGGGUUUAAAGGGUGCGUAGGCGGCACUUUAAGUGAGAGGGGAAAACCUGUGGCUCAACCUCAGAAUGGCAUGUGAAACUGGGAGGCUUGAGUAUGGUAGAGGCAGGCGGAAUGCGUGGUGUAGCGGUGAAAUGCUUAGAUAUCACGCAGAACCCCGAUUGCGAAGGCAGCCUGCCAAGCCAUGACUGACGCUGAGGCACGAAAGCGUGGGGAUCGAACAGGAUUAGAUACCCUGGUAGUC
rnacentral:rRNA from 1 species